GAGGGGGACCUUCGGGCCUCUUGCCAUCAGAUGUGCCCAGAUGGGAUUAGCUUGUUGGUGAGGUAACGGCUCACCAAGGCGACGAUCCCUAGCUGGUCUGAGAGGAUGACCAGCCACACUGGAACUGAGACACGGUCCAGACUCCUACGGGAGGCAGCAGUGGGGAAUAUUGCACAAUGGGCGCAAGCCUGAUGCAGCCAUGCCGCGUGUAUGAAGAAGGCCUUCGGGUUGUAAAGUACUUUCAGCGGGGAGGAAGGUGUUGUGGUUAAUAACCGCANCAAUUGACGUUACCCGCAGAAGAAGCACCGGCUAACUCCGUGCCAGCAGCCGCGGUAAUACGGAGGGUGCAAGCGUUAAUCGGAAUUACUGGGCGUAAAGCGCACGCAGGCGGUCUGUCAAGUCGGAUGUGAAAUCCCCGGGCUCAACCUGGGAACUGCAUUCNAAACUGGCAGGCUUGAGUCUUGUAGAGGGGGGUAGAAUUCCAGGUGUAGCGGUGAAAUGCGUAGAGAUCUGGAGGAAUACCGGUGGCGAAGGCGGCCCCCUG
rnacentral:rRNA from 1 species